rnacentral:rRNA from 1 species
UACGGAGGGGGUUAGCGUUGUUCGGAAUGACUGGGCGUAAAGCGCGCGUAGGCGGAUGGGCAAGUCUGCUGUGAAAGCUCCUGGCUUAACCGGGAGUGGUCGGUGGAAACUGCCAAUCUGGAGGACGGUAGAGGUAGGUAGAAUUCCCGGUGUAGUGGUGAAAUGCGUAGAGAUCGGGAGGAACACCAGUGGCGAAGGCGACUACCUGGCCUGUUCUUGACGCUGAGGCGCGAAAGCUAGGGGAGCAAACGGG